rnacentral:rRNA from 1 species
CCCUUAGAUGUUCGGGGCCGCACGCGCGCUACACUGAAGGACUCAGCGUGUCUCUCCCCCUAUCCCGAAAGGGAUGGGCAACCCGUUGAACCUCCUUCGCGCUAGGGAUUGGGGUUUGCAAUUAUCCCCCAUGAACGAGGAAUUCCCAGUAAGCGCGAGUCAUCAGCUCGCGUUGAUUACGUCCCUGCCCUUUGUACACACCGCCCGUCGCUACUACCGAUUGGAUGGUUUAGUGAGACCCUCGGAUCGGUCCCGACUCGGGGUGGGCUUCUGCCCCGGUCGUGGUUUCGCCGAGAAGACGGUCAAACUUGACUAUCUAGAGGAAGUAAAAGUCGUAACA